rnacentral:rRNA from 1 species
GGCCUCGGCCCGAGUUGUAAUCUGUAGAGGACGCUUUUGGCGCGGUGCCUUCCGAGUUCCCUGGAACGGGACGCCACAGAGGGUGAGAGCCCCGUAAGGUCGGACACUAAGCCUCUGUAAAGCUCCUUCGACGAGUCGAGUAGCUUGGGAAUGCUGCUCUAAGCGGGAGGUAAACUUCUUCUAAAGCUAAAUACUGGCCAGAGACCGAUAGCGCACAAGUAGAGUGAUCGAAAGAUGAAAAGCACUUUGAAAAGAGGGUUAAAUAGUACGUGAAAUUGUUGAAAGGGAAGCGCUCAUGACCAGACUUGCGCCUGGCGGAUCAUCCGGUGGUCUCCACCGGUGCACUCCGCCUGGCGCAGGCCAGCGUCGGCUGUUGCGGGGGGACAAAAGCUCUGGGAACGUAGCUCUCUCCGGGGAGUGUUAUAGCCCUCUGCA